AUGUCGGGGAGAGACUGGCUGGAAACCUCCUGGUUUAACCAAACAGGAGGACUCUUGGUUCCUCGCAGCUGCUGCAACUCUACUUUCCCCUCCUGCAAUGGCACUGUGGACCAGCCAUGGCAGCUUUAUGAAAAGGACUGCCAGGUGAAGCUGGAGAUGGCCUUACAGUUUGAGUUUCAUCAUCUGGGGCUCCCUGCUGUUUAUUGUUGCGGAGGAUGCAGCGGUCAGGUGACUGUGACUCAGCCUGCAGUAGUGACAUCUACACCAGGAUCCACUGUCACUCUCACCUGUAAGAUCAACCCUGCUACUUAUUCCAACUAUAUUGGUGCUGAUCUCAGUUGGUACCUUCAGAAACCUGGACAGGCUCCCAAACUUCUUAUAUACAAAGCAUCAACUCUCUUCUCUGGAACUCCGUCUCGAUUCAGUGGCAGUAGAUCUGGUUCUGACUACACUUUGACCAUCAGCGGUGUUCAGGCUGAAGAUGUUGGAGAUUACUACUGUCUGGGUGCCCAUGUUGGUGGAGUGUUCACACAGUGA